AUGGACCGACCCCAUCGUCUCCACCCCGUAGGAACUACGAGAUCACCCCAAGGACGCCUUCGGCAUCCAGGGCUGGAUCCUCCGGAACCACAAGAAUCCUUGUUUGAAUGGGAUUCUAACUCAGCACCCUUUGAUAUUUUGAGAAGAGUUGCUCUUUGGAGAGCACAGUACGAUGAAAGUUGUAAGCUGUGUUCGGAGGGUUAUUGUCUAUCGUUGGCCUCUAUGGUAGAAUCAGUUGGGGCUUGA